GUUGCGAUACUAAUCCUGCUCAGUAUGAGAGAAACCACAGGUUCAGACAUUUGGCAUCUGUGCUUGGCUGGGGAGCCACUGGUACAAAACUGCCAUCUGUGGGAUUAUGACUGGAGGCUUCAAAAUCAGAAUCCAUUCUAAAUGGCUGC
rnacentral:ncRNA from 1 species